rnacentral:rRNA from 1 species
GUAUUCCUACGGGACGCAGCAGUAGGGAAUCUUCCACAAUGGACGAAAGUCUGAUGGAGCAACGCCGCGUGAGUGAAGAAGGGUUUCGGCUCGUAAAGCUCUGGUGGGAGUGAAGAAAGAGAGAGGGAGUAACUGGCCUUUAUUUGACGGUAAUUACUUAGAAAGUCACGGCUAACUACGUGCCAGCAGCCGCGGUAAUACGUAGGUGGCAAGCGUUGUCCGGUUUUAUUGGGCGUAAAGGGAGU